GUUCCAAUGCCAAAUCCUAGCAUCUCCUAGAGUAGCCACUCCAUUGUUUUGCUUCCACUUUCUUCGAUCUUCUUCGUUGCUAGAUUAACACCCAGGUUUGCACAAAGACAAUCCACAUCUAGUAUGAGAGUUGUACCGAAGGUUUUCCUAGCAUAGAGUAUAUCCUAACAAAAGGAUUAUUUUACCAAAUGAGAAAAGUCUAAUAGGCUUAGUUUGAUUGCUAUUAAGAGGUAUUUUUCUGAGUAUCUACUGAGUGAUCUACCAGAGACCAAUAAUGCUAAAGAACUACUAGAUGCUAUAAGACAGAGAUACCUUA
rnacentral:lncRNA from 1 species